GCUCACUUAGGCUGAGUACAUACUAAAGUUGGAACAAUACAGAGAAGAUUAGCAUGACCACCACACAGGGAUGACACACAAAUUUUGUAAGCGUCAAUAUAUAAGU
ensembl:snRNA U6 U6 spliceosomal RNA